rnacentral:snRNA from 1 species
GAAGGAGUGACCUAGCAAC